UACAGAGGCCCCAAGCAUUAUCCGGAAUCACUGGGCGUAAAGGGUGCGUAGGCGGGUCUUUAAGUCAGGGGUGAAAUCCUGGAGCUCAACUCCAGAACUGCCUUUGAUACUGAAGAUCUUGAGUUCGGGAGAGGUGAGUGGAACUGCGAGUGUAGAGGUGAAAUUCGUAGAUAUUCGCAAGAACACCAGUGGCGAAGGCGGCUCACUGGCCCGAUACUGACGCUGAGGCACGAAAGCGUGGGGAGCAAACAGG
rnacentral:rRNA from 1 species